CUACGGGCGGCUCCAGUAAGGAAUAUUGCACAAUGGGGGAAACCCUGAUGCAGCAACGCCGCGUGGACGAAGAAGGCCUUCGGGUCGUAAAGUCCUUUUCUGAGGGAAGAGGAAGGACGGUACCUCAGGAAUAAGUCUCGGCUAACUACGUGCCAGCAGCCGCGGUAAAACGUAGGAGGCGAGCGUUAUCCGGAUUCACUGGGCGUAAAGGGCAAGUAGGCGGUUGUUUAAGUUAGGUGUGACAUCUCUCGGCUUAACUGGGAGGGAGCGCUUAAAACUAGGCAACUAGAGGGCGGAAGAAGGGGGUAGAACUCCAAAUGUAGCGGUGGAAUGCUCAGAUAUUUGGAAGAAUACCAGUGGCGAAGGCGACCCCCCGGUCCGUGCCUGACGCUGAGAGGCGAAAGCUAGGGUAGCGAACGGGAUUAGAUACCCUGUAGUC
rnacentral:rRNA from 1 species